AAAAUGACGAUGAGAGGACAUAGUACAAUCUGUUUCCAUUUAAAGAGAGUUGCCGUUUGGUGCAAGGCAGUAAUGGAUAGGAUUGGAACUCUUCCUCGAGUAGCCGACCGAAAUUGGAUUAAAAGUAGGCUCGGACGGAGCUUCCACCGUUAAAAGGAAGGAGAUAUCGGAACUUCGAUGUUCGAAGUUCGAUGCGCCAAGUUCGAACCAAAAGUAGUUUUUUAGGGUCGAACCACGAACAUCGGACCACGAACCACGAUUACUCCCGUAUCUGCAGAGAAGACAGCUAUUUGUUAGUUGUCAACUUGAGUGGUACCGCGAAACUAACCCUUCGUCUCAAAU
rnacentral:ncRNA from 1 species